CACGUAGGGCGCAAGCGUUGUCCGGAAUUAUUGGGCGUAAAGAGCUCGUAGGUGGUUUGUUACGUCUGCUGUGAAAACCUAGGGCUUAACCCUGGGCUUGCAGUGGAUACGGGCAGACUAGAGGUAGGUAGGGGAGAAUGGAAUUCCUGGUGUAGCGGUGAAAUGCGCAGAUAUCAGGAGGAACACCAGUGGCGAAGGCGAUCAUCUGGGGCUGUUCUGACGCUGGAGGAGCGAAAGCUAGGGGAGCAAACGGG
rnacentral:rRNA from 1 species